rnacentral:rRNA from 1 species
UGCAGUCGACGGCAGCACAGAAGAGCUUGCUCUUUGGGUGGCGAGUGGCGGACGGGUGAGUAAUGUCUGGGAAACUGCCCGAUGGAGGGGGAUAACUACUGGAAACGGUAGCUAAUACCGCAUAACGUCGCAAGACCAAAGUGGGGGACCUUCGGGCCUCACACCAUCGGAUGUGCCCAGAUGGGAUUAGCUAGUAGGUGGGGUAAUGGCUCACCUAGGCGACGAUCCCUAGCUGGUCUGAGAGGAUGACCAGCCACACUGGAACUGAGACACGGUCCAGACUCCUACGGGAGGCAGCAGUGGGGAAUAUUGCACAAUGGGCGCAAGCCUGAUGCAGCCAUGCCGCGUGUAUGAAGAAGGCCUUCGGGUUGUAAAGUACUUUCAGCGGGGAGGAAGGCGGUGAGGUUAAUAACCUCGCCGAUUGACGUUACCCGCAGAAGAAGCACCGGCUAACUCCGUGCCAGCAGCCGCGGUAAUACGGAGGGUGCAAGCGUUAAUCGGAAUUACUGGGCGUAAAGCGCACGCAGGCGGUCUGUUAAGUCAGAUGUGAAAUCCCCGGGCUUAACCUGGGAACUGCAUUUGAAACUGGCAGGCUUGAGUCUCGUAGAGGGGGGGUAGAAUUCCAGGUGUAGCGGUGAAAUGCGUAGAGAUCUGGAGGAAU